AGCGAACGCUGGCGGCAUGCUUAACACAUGCAAGUCGCACGGGCAGGGCAACCUGUCAGUGGCGGACGGGUGAGUAACGCGUAGGUAUCUAUCCUUGGGUGGGGGACAACGGUUGGAAACGACUGCUAAUACCGCAUGAUAACUGAGGUUUAAAGGCGCAAGUCGCCUGAGGAGGAGCCUGCGUACGAUUAGCUAGUUGGUGGGGUAAAGGCCUACCAAGGCUGCGACGUUAGCUGGUCUGAGAGGAUGAUCAGCCACAUUGGGACUGAGACACGGCCCAAACUCCUACGGGAGGCAGCAGUGGGGAAUAUUGGACAAUGGGCGAAAGCCUGAUCCAGCAAUGCCGCGUGUGUGAAGAAGGUCUUCGGAUUGUAAAGCACUUUCGACGGGGACGAUGAUGACGGUACCCGUAGAAGAAGCCCCGGCUAACUUCGUGCCAGCAGCCGCCGUAAC
rnacentral:rRNA from 1 species